rnacentral:tRNA from 1 species
GGUGGCUCAGUGGUAAAGUGCUUGCCUUACAUGCAUGAGGCCCUGGGUUUGAUUCCCCAGCACCA